UAAGGCCCUUGGUCUUACAUUUUGGAGGCCCCAGCGAGAUGCCCGGGUAAGGAACCCCGGUUCAGCCGAGACUCUGUGGCGGGAUCCAGCAGGAGACUCAGGCACAGACCUCAGAAAACCUCCGGAGGUUUGAUUCCAAGACCCUGGAACCUCAUUGGAAAGGGCCGGUUCCUGUUGUCCUGUCAGCUCCCUUGGCGGUAAAGGUGGCUGGACAUUCUGCCUGGAUACAUUGCAACCAUCUAAAACCAGGACCCCCCGCGGACAUCAAAAAGGACAAAUGGAAGAUUAUCAGCCAACCGGGCUACCAAAAGCUAAGAUUGGAGCGGGUUGGAUAUGCUUCACCUUCAUGAUAAUAUUUUCUAGGACAUUGACAGUAUUGCCCUCAGGAGAGUUAGAUCACACAAAAAAAUAUAUGGAUUCAAUUGGCAAACUUGCUUAAUCUAUCUAAAUUCUGUUUAAGUGUUGAUGUAAAUUUCCAUUAUGUAUUAGGAAGUUGUCUUAUCCCGGUGUGCACCCCUUUAGAGUCAAUACGGCCUUAUACUCUGUUUAAAGAUAUUCCAAAAAAACUUUACUUAUAUAGAUAGUUAUAAUUGGAGGCCUGUCACAUGUCAUAAGCCUAAAAAUGCUGUCAAAUUGUAUAUGCCUAAAGUGAUCAUGUCAAAUGAGACUGAAUGUGCUGUAUAUGAAAAUUGUACAACUAAAUGUUUAAAGAUCAAACAGUUAAAAAAAAGUCCUGCCGUGUAGAACAAAAAAAUUGUAUAUAACAACUGCCAUAUUUCUUUGCCAAUGGGAUGGUUUUAUACCUGUGAAGGAGAAACUUUCAACUACACUCCAGCUAAUUUAACCAAAACUCGCUGCUGUUUAAGUCGAUUAGCUGUAGUAUUACCAGAUAGAACUGAUUUGAUUGUGCCUAACAGAACUAAAUGGUGGUCACCUUAUACUGCACCAAGAUGUGAUGAUGAUGUGGGUCUGUUAACAGAUGCUGAAGUAAUAACCAUGAUAGCUUCUUUUGUUGCCCUGCUGUCUAUAGGAGUACAUGCUGAAAAGGCCGUACGAAAAUUAGCUUGUAAGGUAGUAAAAGGGUUAAAUGCCACUUCGUCGGCCUUGGCGCUAAUCGACCAAGAGUUACAAAAACAGAGACAAGCGAUCUUAGACAAUAGAGCAGCAAUAGAUUACCUGUUGCUCUUCCACCACCAAGGCUGUGAAAAAA